rnacentral:tRNA from 1 species
CAGGGAGAACCAACCUCAAAUGAUGAUCACCAUUUUUUAGUGAUCCAUUUGACUGUUCAUUCCUAAGGUCGAUCGGUACCUCAGUGAGUGAUAAUCAUUCAUCUCGGUCCUUAAGCUUGUCUAGGUCACCACCCCUUAGCUGAUAAGCUCUGUGGGAUGGGCCCGAGAGGGUUCCUGGGCCAUUAGCUCAGGUGGUUAGAGCGCACCCCUGAUAAGGGUGAGGUCCCUGGUUCAAGUCCAGGAUGGCCCAUCGGGAUUGGGGGUUUAGCUCAGCUGGUAGAGCGCCUGCUUUGCAAGCAGGAUGUCAGCGGUUCGAGUCCGCUAACCUCCAUUAGUCUUGAUAAUGGAACUGUGGCGCAGGGUGACUUAGAAGGAUGUUGGUGAUUCCAGCCUCGUUUGAUUCUUGUUUCAAGUUCAAACGAUGCUGGGCUCAGCAAUGGGUUCAGCAAGAACCUUGACAACUGCAUAGGUAAGUCUGGAAAUAAAGCAUCUCACAGAGAUGAUCCAGGCAUGAAGUGAUUCACGUUACGGCGUGAUUUGCUUGGUGUUUGGUUCAACAAUUCUGGAGAAAAGCCGAGUCCUGAAUCAAUUUGAUCAGGAACAAAAU